rnacentral:rRNA from 1 species
ACGUGGAUAACCUACCUAUAAGACUGGGAUAACUUCGGGAAACCGGAGCUAAUACCGGAUAAUAUAUUGAACCGCAUGGUUCAAUAGUGAAAGACGGUUUUGCUGUCACUUAUAGAUGGAUCCGCGCUGCAUUAGCUAGUUGGUAAGGUAACGGCUUACCAAGGCAACGAUGCGUAGCCGACCUGAGAGGGUGAUCGGCCACACUGGAACUGAGACACGGUCCAGACUCCUACGGGAGGCAGCAGCC